GUAAUAUAAGAACCCGUCUCUUAACUUUUAACUAAAAAAGCUAAGAACCGGUUCUUAAAUAAAAAAACUAAGAACCGGUUCUUAAAUCUCUUAUUUAAGAGCCGGUUCUUAAAUCUCUUAUUUAAGAGCCGGUUCUUAGCUUUUUUAGUUGAAAAUUAAGAGACGGGUUCUUAUAUUCC
rfam:Brassica napus, WGS project CCCW01000000 data, contig: 20376